rnacentral:tRNA from 1 species
UAGAUUGAAGCCAGUCGUUAGGGUAUUUAGCUGUUAACUAAAAUUUCGUGGGAUGGAAGCCCACCAAUCUAG